UGGGGAAUAUUGCACAAUGGGCGCAAGCCUGAUGCAGCCAUGCCGCGUGUGUGAAGAAGGCCUUCGGGUUGUAAAGCACUUUCAGCGGGGAGGAAGGCGAUAAGGUUAAUAACCUUGUCGAUUGACGUUACCCGCAGAAGAAGCACCGGCUAACUCCGUGCCAGCAGCCGCGGUAAUACGGAGGGUGCAAGCGUUAAUCGGAAUUACUGGGCGUAAAGCGCACGCAGGCGGUCUGUCAAGUCGGAUGUGAAAUCCCCGGGCUCAACCUGGGAACUGCAUUCGAAACUGGCAGGCUAGAGUCUUGUAGAGGGGGGUAGAAUUCCAGGUGUAGCGGUGAAAUGCGUAGAGAUCUGGAGGAAUACCGGUGGCGAAGGCGGCCCCCUGGACAAAGACUGACGCUCAGGUGCGAAAGCGUGGGGAGCAAACAGGA
rnacentral:rRNA from 1 species